rnacentral:rRNA from 1 species
GACGAACGCUGGCGGCGUGCUUAACACAUGCAAGUCGAACGGAAAGGCCCUGCUUUUGUGGGGUGCUCGAGUGGCGAACGGGUGAGUAACACGUGAGUAACCUGCCCUUGACUUUGGGAUAACUUCAGGAAACUGGGGCUAAUACCGGAUAGGAGCUCCUGCUGCAUGGUGGGGGUUGGAAAGUUUCGGCGGUUGGGGAUGGACUCGCGGCUUAUCAGCUUGUUGGUGGGGUAGUGGCUUACCAAGGCUUUGACGGGUAGCCGGCCUGAGAGGGUGACCGGCCACAUUGGGACUGAGAGACGGCCCAGACGCCUACGGGAGGCAGCAGUGGGGAAUAUUGCACAAUGGGCGGAAGCCUGAUGCAGCAACGCCGCGGGCGGGAUGACGGCCUUCGGGUUGUAAACCGCUUUCGCCUGUGACGAAGCGGGAGUGACGGUAAUGGGUAAAGAAGCACCGGCUAACUACGUG